GAGAUAUGCGUGCGGAAUGAUGCUUGAUUUCUACACUUCUUUCCUUGCCAAUAGGAGAGGUUAUCAGCUAUUACGACAUGAAUUUCCUUUAAAUAUACUAGAGGGAGAAACAGAAAGGUGAGAGAAUGUGCUUUAACUGGGCUUAAGAAGAAACCCCGUUACUUCUAUCCUCUCGAAUCAGCGGGCAAAAAGCAUGUAAUUCCAUCUCCUGCUCAUUCAAAUUCUAGUGGUGUCAUUUCCCGGCUUAAUCUUAACAGCUUAUGACUAGUCUUAAAUUUAUCAUACAAUUUGGGGUCUGUGGCUUGUUUGAAGUGGCUUGUUAGAAAUAUAUAAUGGCACUGCUUAUUCUUUGUUGCUGCACUCAAUUGGAUUUCGAGCUACGUGUGGACUUCUCAAGUAGGAUACGAAAGUGUUUGGUCUUCACGGAUCUUCGUUAACAUCAAACUGGUACAUGGGAGUGUACAGUUAAGCCAACUUCGAAAUGUACCUACAGAUUGAUUGCCACCAAAGCUUUACAUCGAAAUCUUUCAACAAUGCAAUUCAAUGUCAUCGUCAAAAGGUUAGAG
rnacentral:lncRNA from 1 species